GAAACUGAAAAAAAGAGAAAAGAAACAGAGGAAGCCGAGAGAGGUUUCAGCAAAAAAUAAAACCAAAGAAAGACUGGGAAUUUGAGGGAGACGACGGGGAGAAGGAAACAAACGGAAAACAGAGGAGGAGGGAAGGAUCUAAUUUUUUUUAGGAGAGCAAUAGAGGGAGCUUCGGUGAGAGAAAAAGCCAAGGAAAACAGAGAGGGCCGCAACUGCAGUCAAAAACAGGGGAAAAGGGAAAACCGAGCAACAAGAAAAGGAAAAGGGGCGGCAGACGGCCACUCCCUUUCCAAUAGCUCUUGAACAGACCAUUGCCACCACCAGUCUUCAUCCACCACCGCUGCUCGCCGCCAUCUCGCCGGAAUUCACCAUCGUCGCCUGCGGAUGCUCACCGAACGAAAGCACUACUUGGUAUACCAAUUGAUUAUGACCACGUAGAAGAUAUGUACGCUUAAAUUACGAAGAGCUGAAAUUAUGAUGAGUUAGAUGAAGAACUUGAAGAAAUUCCAGUUCAUGAUCAAGGUUCAAAUUCUCAACCAUUUGAAGAUAACGAAGAUGAAUGGGAAGAUGUUGAUUUAGAAGCAUUUCAACGUAGAAACUUUUUUAAUGAUGAUGAAGAUGAUGAUUAGCAUUAAAGAUU